UUUCAACAUAAUGGUUAAUCCGGAUAAGGAUGUAGUUGGAUGCAGGUGAGGUGGGGAGACUUUUUCUCAAAGAACCUCUUGGUGGAGUCCCCGGAGGAAAGAAUAGUAACUAUUCAAUGACUUGGAGCGGAGAGCCCAAUUUCAUUACAAUUUCUUCUUUUCAACUUAAUGGUUAUCGAAUUAAUUGCUUUUCCUCUAAGGGUACCAAAAGCAGGCUGAACUCAGCACUCAUACCUUUCCAUUGUUUCUUCCAAAUUCCCCAAGCAAUACCAAUGUUAUUCCGUUUUUUCAAAUUAUAAAUUUUCUAUAUGCAAUUCGAUUUUUUUUUUUUUUUUGCUCGGAAUUCAUAAGUGCAAUGUUUUCAAUUUGUAAAAAAGGCAGAAUAAUAUUUCCAUUUAGUUUAAUGUCAUUUUAACUUGGUGUUGGUUUACACAUAAUUUUCAGCAUUUUCCACAUAGGUUAUGAUUUUAAUUUUGUUGAAACCUAUAGAUUGUUAAACUAAUGACAAGCUAUUACUAUAUAUUGUUCAUAUCAAGGAGGAAUACAUUUUUAGAUUACCCUGAAAUAUAGCUAGGAAAACAUCUUUUCUUUCUUAUUACGGCGAACAUUUAUGCCCUACAUUGUUGACUUUCUUUAAUGCUUGCUCUGGAUUCUACAGGUUCUUUUUAAAGUUUAUUUGGUUGCUGGAAAAAAAAACUGAGAAAUGAAGGGCUUCAGAUUUUGAUCAUUUGUGCCUCAAAUUUGUUAGAGAAAGAAAAAGAGGAGCAUAGAAGUUUGCCCAGUACUUCUCUGUUUCAUCACUUAGAGCACAAAGGAAGAGGUAGCAGGCAUCGAUCAAAUUCAAGUUCAAAUAUGAGUUCAUACCUGAUUUCAAAUCCUAUAUUUGAGCCCUUUGUUUCUUCGGUAAUCACUAUUCUGGUGCCUUUUAUUCAAGGUUUUGAAGACACUGAGGACUUCACCGUGAAAAAGAAAUUGAAGACUUGGGUUGUAAAUAUAUUUUUACAUGCACGUAAAAAUAUAUGUAAAACUAUCUACAUAGUUUAUACAAUUUUUAAACCCUCGCAGCAUCGCGCGGGCAGCGUUUCUAGUCAACUACUAAAUUCAGUGAAAUAAUAGGUAAGUGUAAGAACAGUUGAGUGCA